CCCUUGUGACAUGAGACUGGGUACACUUGCUUGUAAACUCAGGCAGGUUGAGACUGGUUACUCGAAAGUCAAAUAAAUCAAUUUUCUCAAGAGAGUGGAAGUACAACAGUGGUGUAACUAUGGCGACUGUGUGUAAGGGAUAAACAGAUGUAAGCCGCACAAGUGUAGAAGUUGGACAAGAUGCUUCUAAACCUAACGGGGUGACUGGACCUGGUGGCACGACAAACAGUGUUGAGGACCGUGAAGAGGAUGAAAGCUCUGAUGAAGGUGUGAGAAUCGUUCCUCCACCUCCUCCUCCUGCUGCUCCACAACAGAAGUCACGGAAGUUAGUUGGGCCAGCAGAUGGUAACCGAAGAAAGGCAGCAGCACCAAAACAGAAGAGGAGAUCACGGCCCUCUCGUCGUCAACCCUGAAACGCCACAAAGACACACAAAGGCAAACAUUUAAUUUGAGUGAUUACGUAGAAAAAAACCAUGUUGUAUCUUAUUACUGUGUAUGCCAUAACAUGGACGUGAACAGAACCGUACACACAUGAUAAAGCUGUUUUCUGUAUCUUGGGCUGUAAAACAAAGUCAGCAUGACAUGGCAUAUUGUUUACUUUAACACCUGUGGAACAACUCAGUGGUAGGUUCAACACAAACUUAUGGGGCCUUUCUCUGUGAAUAAAAUGUACCAUUGCAUUUACCAUUUAAUGUGAUGACAUGACAACAGGCCCAAAAACACCAGUCUGAGACCAGUUCACGCAUCCAUUGAAAUCCAGGACAAGGCAUGCUUUUAGCAGCAUCAUGACUUGACACUGACCUUGAGAGCCAAUGAAACUGCUCUAAAUUCACCAACCUGUUUCAAAAU
ensembl:lncRNA